GAUAAUUGAUGCGCAUGCGUAUUUGACUUCGAGUCUGAAGUGGCGCGGACAGAGGAAAGGAAGGGAGACUUCAGGACGGCUACUUUGAAUUUUACCACGAUAUUUCACCCACUAUUCAAGCUAAUGCAAGAUAAAAAAUGAUUUCAGAAGAAUCACCACAAUUUCCUUGGAGCGUACAUUCUUGUAAAAGCUGGACUUCUAUACCCCAAAACUCCUGGCUUUGUUUGAGAUGAGGGGUGGGGUUGCUGGCAUAAGAAUUAAAGAUUUGCUGGAUUCACUGAGCUAGCAAGAAGAUAGCCUUGAAGAUAGGUGAGACGUUGUGAUUCGCUGCCUCCUAUCUUUCCUGGGAGAAUCAGCUAAGGAGCUCAUUGAAGACCACCAGGAUAUCAGCAGAGACAUGAUUAAGGAUACCUUAUUCAGUCAUGUCAUGAAAAUCAUCGUACUCGGCAGGUCUGUGGAAGAAGAUGCCAGUAUGUCUGAUGUCAUCAUUGUCAUUGAGGGAACUGAGGUGCUGCUGGGAUGUAAGAAUCUCACAAAUGCAUGUCUUUCACUCACAGGCUGCAUUUACUCCCUAAACUUAAGCUGUCCCCCAAA